GCCGGGGUAGCUCAAUCGGUAGAGCGUGUGGCUCUUAGUAACCUGCUAGGUCACCUCAAGGUCGCGAGUUCGAGCCUCGCCUUCGGCU
rnacentral:tRNA from 1 species